rnacentral:rRNA from 1 species
UACGGAGGGUGCAAGCGUUGCUCGGAAUUAUUGGGCGUAAAGGGUAGGUAGGUGGUCUUAUUUGUCUAGGGUGAAAGCCUUGAGCUUAACUCAAGAAGUGCCCUAGAAACGGUAAGACUAGAGUCCUGGAGAGGGUCGUGGAAUUCCCGGUGUAGCGGUGAAAUGCGUAGAGAUCGGGAGGAACACCAGUGGCGAAGGCGGCUCACUGGCCCGGUACUGACGCUGAGGUGCGAAAGCGUGGGGGAGCAAACAGG